rnacentral:rRNA from 1 species
AUGCCCGAACCAGGAAAUGGGCUCUCUUCCCACCCUCCAACGACCUCAUCUCCGAGCAGAGCUGGAGGACGGCGCCGUAGCUGCGGUCAUCGACCCCAUCCGAGCCGAGCAACCGCAAAGCCUCCGCCAAGUCACCCGACCGACACAGCCUCUGAAUCCGCAGGUUCACGUCGGAACUCGGGGGCCAGUUUGGCGAUUUCUCGGCGUCCCUCGGAGGAGCGGCAGCCUCCGAGGCUUGGCCGGACGGUGCGAGGACGCCACACCGAACCCUCGCUCUCUGGCUGGUGCUCUUGGGAGGCGGCCAUGGCGGCGGAGCUCGGAGGUGGCUGGAAAUGGAGGCGGCUAGGGGCGUCGCCAUGGGAGGAGUUCAAAUUUUGCCGCGAAAUUCGCGCUGUCGGCGUGGUUUGGUCUUGCAAUGGAUAG